rnacentral:misc_RNA from 1 species
UUUCCGUAGGUGAACCUGCGGAAGGAUCAUUCAUAAUAAGUGUUUUAUGGCACUUUUUUUAAUGCAUAUCCACCUUGUGUGCAAUGUCAGGGUUGAUUUUUAUCUCGAGAGGAUCAGCCCCAAACAUCAACUAUAUCUCAACUCUUUGUCUGAAAAAUAUUAUGAAUAAAACAAUUCAAAAUGCAACUUUCAACAACGGAUCUCUUGGCUCUC